rnacentral:misc_RNA from 1 species
UUGCUGGCUUCCUUCAGUGGAUGGUCUGCUCCCCUUAAAUGCAUUAGCGGGAUCUCUUGUGGACCGUCACUUGGUGUGAUAAUUAUCUAUGCCAGUUGACUUUGAAGCAAAACUUAUGGGAAUCCGCUCAUAACCGUCCACUCGUGGACAACUCUUGACAUUUUGACCUCAAAUCAGGUAGGACUACCCGCUGAACUUAA